rnacentral:rRNA from 1 species
CCUACGGGAGGCAGCAGUGGGGGAUAUUGCACAAUGGGCGAAACCCUGAUGCAGCGACGCCGCGUGGGUGAAGAAGCGCCUCGGCGCGUAAAGCCCUUUCAGCAGGGAAGAAAAUGACGGUACCUGAAGAAGAAGCCCCGGCUAACUACGUGCCAGCAGCCGCGGUAAUACGUAGGGGGCAAGCGUUAUCCGGAUUUACUGGGUGUAAAGGGGGCGCAGACGGCGAUGCAAGCCAGUAGUGAAAGCCCGGGGCCCAACCCCGGGACUGCUCUUGAAACUGCGUGGCUAGAGUGCAGGAGGGGCAGGCGGAAUUCCUGGUGUAGCGGUGAAAUGCGUAGAUAUCAGGAGGAACACCAGUGGCGAAGGCGGCCUGCUGGACUGCAACUGACGUUGAGGCGCGAAAGCGUGGGGAGCAAACAGGAUUAGAUACCCCUGUAGUC